rfam:Hordeum vulgare subsp. vulgare, WGS project CAJW01000000 data, contig: morex_contig_64738
AAAGUACUCCCUUCGUCCGAAAAUACAUGUCAUAGGAAUGAAUGUAUCUACAUGUAUUUUAGUUCUAGAUACAUAUAUUUUUAUCAAUUUGUGCGAGAAGUAAUUCCGAACGGAUGAAGUACUCC